UUGGAGGACCAACUUUGGGGUAAUUCUUUUAGAGGAGUGUAGUGGCUGUCUCCCUUCCCUGGAAAUUGCCUGCCUGGUCAACAUGGAGCAUCCUUAGCUGCCAUUACCUGUUCAUUAGUCUGUCUGGACCAGAAGUGAGGACUUGACCCACGCUGGACGAAUGCCAUUCUUUCUUCUAAGAAUUUGGUUUGUGACUGAAAGGCACUUGGAAUACAUCUGUAAACCAAAGGAAAUAAUAAGAAUUGGAAGAUAAAAGAAGAUACCUAAUACAAAGUAAACCACAAAGUCCGAAACCCUCAGACUGAAGUCCAAACCGAGCUGGUCUUUGCUUAGAGUCCAGACAGCCUGGAAGAAUCACCAUUCCUCACCAUCAACUUAUGAGUCCCUUCUUCACUUUUCUUUUCUGUCCUUCCAGCUGGAAUUCUGUCCCUGUCUCCAUUUCCUAGUCAUCUCCCCCUUCAAAGCCAAACUCCAGUACCACACUUCUAUGAAACCUCCUAGGUGCUCCCAGCUGGACAUGAGCUUCUCUCUCCCUGCUAUCCCCCAGCAGCACUAUUGGCCCUCUGCUCUUUUUAUCUGACUCCAUGCCUUACCUGGCACCUAAACAGUAAACUCCCUGAUGGUAGGAACUGUUCCUCACCUUUAGGUUCUCUAGAACUUUGUACAAAUUGUCCAAUCUACAUUUGUUGAAUGAGUGGGCCCUGAGAGAAUUAAUGAGAAUAGGGGAAGCUGCAUCCUAUUUAGGUGCUUACUAGGCAGUACGAUGGAAGGUGACACAGGGGACAAAGUGGAAAGUGUGCAGACUUGGAGUCAGAGAGGCCUGGGUUCAAAUUUAGAUCUAGACACUGACUAGCUACAUGACUGAUUUAAGCAUGUUGCAUAAUCUCAAUUUUCCCAAAUACCCACCUCACAUUAAUCAAAUAAAAGACAUAACAUGUAAAGUA